rnacentral:rRNA from 1 species
UGCCAGCAGCCGCGGUAAUACGGAGGGGGCUAGCGUUGUCCGGAGUUAUUGGGCGUAAAGCGCGCGCAGGCGGUCUUUUAAGUCUGAUGUGAAAGCCCACGGCUCAACCGUGGGGGGUCAUUGGAAACUGGAGGACUUGAGUGCAGAAGAGGAGAGUGGAAUUCCACGUGUAGCGGUGAAAUGCGUAGAUAUGUGGAGGAACACCAGUGGCGAAGGCGGCUCUCUGGUCUGUAACUGACGCUGAGGCGCGAAAGCGUGGGGAGCAAACAGGAUUAAAUA